GAUGAACGCUGACAGCAUGCUUAACACAUGCAAGUCUUUGGCGAAGCUGUGCUUGCACCGCCUAGCCAAGGCGGACGGGUGAGUAACGCGUAAGGAACUUGCCCUGCAGUCAGGGAUAACAGACGGAAACGACUGAUAAGACCUGGUAAAGUCAGGCGGACUCAUGUCCAGCCUGAUGAAAAGAGAUGCUGCAGGAGAGCCUUGCGUCCUAUUAGCUUGUUGGUGGGGUAACGGCCCACCAAGGCGAUGAUAGGUAGCCGGCCUGAGAGGGUGGACGGCCACAAGGGGACUGAGAUACGGCCCUGACUCCUACGGGAGGCAGCAGGGGGGAAUAUUGGACAAUGGGGGCAACCCUGAUCCAGCAAUUCUGUGUGCACGAUGAAGGUUUUCGGAUUGUAAAGUGCUUUCAGCAGGGAAGAAAAAAAUGACGGUACCUGCAGAAGAAGCGACGGCUAAAUACGUG
rnacentral:rRNA from 1 species